rnacentral:lncRNA from 1 species
UGCUUUAAUUUUCAGUCUUUCAAUUUUAUUUUUCAAUGAUCGCCGCCUCAAUGGCCGGCUAGUUUUCCUGUAUUAAAUCAUGGCUUGACUCAACGUUACUUUUCUAUCAUGUGCAUUUGUGAAAUGUAAAGAUUUAUUUUACUUAAGAUAUCAAAGGUAGAGUUUGGUUUAACCAGAAGGUAUGAGGUUUCCAGUGAUAUUCAUAAGUUAACCAUGUGGGCUUGCCUUGUUGCCGUUUUGCCGAUUC